rnacentral:rRNA from 1 species
GAUGAACGCUGGCGGCGUGCCUAAUACAUGCAAGUCGAGCGAACAGACGAGGAGCUUUCUCCUCUGACGUUAGCGGCGGACGGGUGAGUACCACGUGGAUAACCUACCUAUAAGACUGGGAUAACUUCGGGAAACCGGAGCUAAUACCGGAUAAUAUAUUGAACCGCAUGGUUCAAUAGUGAAAGACGGUUUUGCUGUCACUUAUAGAUGGAUCCGCGCCGCAUUAGCUAGUUGGUGAGGUAACGGCUUACCAAGGCAACGAUGCGUAGCCGACCUGAGAGGGUGAUCGGCCACACUGGAACUGAGACACGGUCCAGACUCCUACGGGAGGCAGCAGUAGGGAAUCUUCCGCAAUGGGCGAAAGCCUGACGGAGCAACGCCGCGUGAGUGAUGAAGGUCUUCGGAUCGUAAAACUCUGUUAUUAGGGAAGAACAAAUGUGUAAGUAACUAUGCACGUCUUGACGGUACCUAAUCAGAAAGCCACGGCUAACUACGUG